GAUGAAGAACGUAGCGAAAUGCGAUAAGUAAUGCGAAUUGCAGAAUCCGUGAGUCAUCGAAUCUUUGAACGCACAUUGCGCCCCUUGGUAUUCCGAGGGGCAUGCCUGUUCGAGCGUCAUUUCAACCCUCAAGCACAGCUUGGUCUUGGGCUUCGCCGCUAACCCGGCGGGUCUUAAAAUCAGUGGCGGUGCCGUCGGGCCCUGAGCGCAGUAAUCUCUCUCGCUAUAGGGUCCCGGCGGAUGCUGGCCAGUAACCCCCAAUUUUCUAUGGUUGACCUCGGAUCAGGUAGGGAUACCCGCUGAACUUAAGCAUAUCAAUAAGCGGAGGA
rnacentral:misc_RNA from 1 species